rnacentral:rRNA from 1 species
ACGCACGCUGGCGGCGUGCUUAACACAUGCCAGUCGAACGGAAAGGCCCUGCUUUUGUGGGGUGCUCGAGUGGCGAACGGGUGAGUAACACGUGAGUAACCUGCCCUUGACUUUGGGAUAACUUCAGGAAACUGGGGCUAAUACCGGAUAGGAGCUCCUGCUGCAUGGUGGGGGUUGGAAAGUUUCGGCGGUUGGGGAUGGACUCGCGGCUUAUCAGCUUGUUGGUGGGGUAGUGGCUUACCAAGGCUUUGACGGGUAGCCGGCCUGAGAAGGUGACCGGCCACAUUGGGACUGAGAUACGGCCCAGACUCCUACGGGAGGCAGCAGUGGGGAAUAUUGCACAAUGGGCGGAAGCCUGAUGCAGCAACGCCGCGUGCGGGAUGACGGCCUUCGGGUUGUAAACCGCUUUCGCCUGUGACGAAGCGUGAGUGACGGUAAUGGGUAAAGAAGCACCGGCUAACUACGUG